GUCAACUGAUUGGAUUGUAGGAAUUGC
rnacentral:sRNA from 1 species